rfam:Triticum aestivum genome assembly, contig: Triticum_aestivum_CS42_TGACv1_scaffold_221939_3B
CAAAUACUCCCUCCGUCCAGAAAUACUUGUCAUCAAAAUGGAUAAAAGGAAAUGUAUCUAGACGUAUUUUAGUUUUAGAUACAUCUAUUUUUAUCCAUUUUGAUGACAAGUAUUAUCGGACAGAGGGAGUAGAAA